rnacentral:tRNA from 1 species
GAGUGUGUAGCUCAGUGGUAGAGCACAGGCUUAGCAUGCACAAGGUCCUGGGUUCAAUCCCCAGUACCUCCU